AUACUUCAUCUUGUUGGUUUUAAACAAGAAACCAAUAUCUUGUUGGUUUUGUACUAAUAUUUGAACAAGCCCCAACUAAAAGAUGUUAUGUGCACAGGUUGAAAAGAGGUGAACAGCUGGGUUGAAAAGAGGGAAUAGUGGUCAACAAUGGUCAGAAGGGUGAAAAGAGGGAACAACUGUCCGAACUCAGCUUGGUUGAAAAGAGGGAACAAUGGUCAACAGUGGUCAGUAUGCUGAAAAGAGGUGAAGUGUGGUCAGAAUUCAGCAGUCUGCUGAAAAGAGGUGAACAGUGGUUAGAAUUCAGUCUGUACAUCUACUUUUUUUUUCAACUUAUAGCUUUUUUUGGUCAACUUACAGCUGGGUUGGGUUAAAAAGUAGAUGUUUACUUUUUUGACAUUAUAUAUUCAGGUUUAAAAAGUAGAUGUCAAAAGUACAACUACUUUUGACAUUAUAUAUAGUAAAUUUAAGCUUCAUAAACUCCAUCCAGCUUUCUACAAACACUACACACCCACCUUCACCUUCAGUUUGCUGCUACAUAGAAUUAACAACAUUCAGAAAAUCAAUUCUAACCGUCUAAUUAAUACUAUUUUCAUCUGGGUCUUCCAUUGUUUCUCACCUCUAUACAUUUGAUUCUUGCAUUAUUUCUCUAUUUUUAACAUCAUGGUCCUGCGUUGUGGUAAGUAUUUCUCACAUUUCGACUGUUUAUUUUGUAUGUGUGUUGUACUCUUACAUAGUGAUAACAAUGUUUGAUACACCGAUUGUAAAAAUCUUACACUAUUUUAGUUGUUAAGACUUAUCGACUGUUUUAUUUUA